rnacentral:rRNA from 1 species
UACGUAGGGGGCGAGCGUUGUCCGGAGUUACUGGGCGUAAAGCGCACGCAGGCGGUCUGUUAAGUUUGGAGUGACAGUUGGUGGCUUAACUGCCAAAGUGCUUCGAAAACUGACAGACUUGAGGGCUUCAGAGGGACACGGAAUUCCGGGUGGAGUGGUGAAAUGCGUAGAGAUCCGGAGGAACACCAAAGGCGAAGGCAGUGUCCU